CCAGUUAUCGCCAAUGUUUUAUGCGCGUCUUCCCCCCAUCAUGUCUACAGCAGCAGCCUGAGAUACGAAAAUAAUCACAACAGGGUUUUCCCAUUCCCCUUCCUCCCUUGCCCAGUGGGCAGUUAUUCCAGCUUAAUUCAAGACGAAAUCCUGUGUGACUUGCAAAUACCUCCCGUCAGGUUUUUUAUGUUGGCUAUACUCCGGGGAGGGGUGAAUGGGCAUACAGGGACUGCCAAUGGGCCAUUUCUUUCUGCACAUCUAAAGCCCUGUUGCUCACACAGAAUGGAGGUCAUGUUGGCUCUUCCGAAAUGCAUAGUCCGGAAAAAUGAUGGAGACUGAAUGGGGGAUUUACUGUACUCACUGGAAUCCAAUAAGAAUAAUAAACUGUGCUCCUGGAGAGGAGGAGGAGAAUCCUACCACAUUCUCCAAACAUUCAGUAACCGAGCCUCUGCAUCAUGGAUGUGAAUGUCCUCAUAUUUGUCCGAUGGUUAAUGCCGCCAUUCAGAGCUUCAGCCAGCUAUGAAACUUCUCUGGCCAGCUGUCUUCCUUCUCUGCAGCAUGCUCCCACCCUUUCCACUUUAUACACUAAUGAGCUGCAAAAAUCCAUUAGGAAUAAGACAAGCCCGACAUUUAUUUCUUGCUGUCACAGGUGGCAAGGGUUAAUAAAAGACAUCCGUAUUUCUUGGAUAGCUACAGAUAAAAUUUGGACCGUGCUAUUUAGGCCACUUUCUUUCUCCCAGCAGUGCUGUCCCACAUUCAAACUAAUUAAUAGCAAGAUCUGUGCUGUGUAACGACUGCAGGAGCGGGAUAAUGUUUAGAAACGGCACAACCUUAAAUAUGUCAAUUGCUGAUGUCCUCAUUUGCUGAGUUCAUCGAGUUCUGUCAAGAACUCCCUUCUCAGAGGACUGCAGUUCAAAAAUGAUACGCACAAAUGGUAUCAUUUUCCAUCUUCUGCUGAAAAAGUUUGAUUCCUUGCAUAUUGCAUUUACAGUUUUAAGCUACAGAUUUUCCUUUUCAGAUCUACAUCAGUAAUUAAAAUUACUAACUCCUUUCUAGCACAAAACCUAAUUUAUAUUCAGCCCUAAAUGACAAUAUUGUUUUCUUAUUCACCCUAAAACAAUUGAACACUGGAUCUUUAGAUAGGAACAAGUAUUAUACGUGCUCUUUCUCAUAGAAAGUAAGUGUGAAUUUCUAACUAGUCUAAGGAAGCCUCCAUAGCUUUCUGCCUGUGGUCUUCAGGCCUGGAGACACAUCACACAAUCCAGGAAAGGUAAUUAAGGUCAGUUGGCUGAAAUUCUAUCUAUAGGGGUCUGCAUUUGAAAUAUUGAGGAACUACUCACUUCUCAAACUGAAAAACACUGAAGGAGCGCUGUCCUAAGUUGUUCUGUGCAACUAGCCAGAAGAUUGUUGUAGGUCGAAGAUCAGUGUAUACAGGACAAGGUUUGUACCAGUAGGUGUUAGCUUUUUUCAGACCAACUGGUAUAGAAGGAAAAGUAGACAAAUGUCUGGGUUAACGAGCUAUAUUUUUGGUUCUGAAGCAGUAAAUACCAAAGCUAAAUGCAACUUGAGAACAACUGCUUAGAGCUUAGGUAGGGAUGGAUCAGUGAGACCAGCUCAGAAAGAAAAAGUGAAAAUGGGAAUGGAUGGGGUGUUGUGGUGGGAAGAACAAGGGCUGAGAGCUGGUUCAGGAAAGUUCCUAUGACUUGCUGGUUUUAACUGUUUAACUAUUUCACAUAACAGGAAAUCAUGUGUGGAAAGACUCUUCCCAGAAGCACUUGUCCUACAUUUCAGGCACCUCAAACCACAAAACUCAUCAUCAGAAACGUAAUUCUCUGUGGUCCAAAACACCAGAACAGUUUAAAUUGUGCCUGAGCAAGAAAUGUUAAGAUGUAUUUGUGCCCAUCUGCCACUACAGCAAUGAAUGCCCCCUGCCAUCAAACAAUCGGCAUCCUCCACUCUUGCAUUUGUAGUUUCAGGACUAACAUACUUCAUCGUGCGCACAGCUGCCUUCCUGAUAGUUUUGCUGCUGAAAAUGACCACUCAGCACCAGUGUGAACUCCCAGAGAUGGUCUAUAAAAGACCCAAAGAGUGUUGUCAGUGAGAGAGAGUUUCUCACAAACAAGACAUUCUCCCUCUAAUUUUUGAGUCCUGCUCCUUAAGAGAAACUACAGAACUUGUCCCACAGCAGUGAGCAUGGGAACUAGGUUUCCUAACUCUGCCCAACACCCAAAACCAGAGCCUCAGUAGAGAUGCUGGUCUGGCAGAGUUCCCUCUGCUUCCAUACCCUGUUCACCUCUCUCUGAAUCAAGAGGCUGUAAAGUAAUUGUCUCUCCUUUUUGCUUAGCUAAUAAAUGUCACUCUUUCUCCCAUCCUGAACAUCCUCUGCAUCAUUAACGUCGUUAAUGUCCUCUUUAUUCUACAGCUACCAUCUUCCUUUCAGAGCUGGCUUAAUUAAUACGUAUCUUAGUAAAUGUUAAGUGAUUGUUCUUAACUGAGAGCUGCAGCUGGUGUUACUAACCUGGAGAAAAUUUCGUAUGGCCAAAGGUAUCCACCGCAGGUGACUGUUGGAGGGAGGAGACCGGACUGGAUGCCACCGUUAUUUGGAAGUUGACACGCAGACCUACAGAUGAAAAUUCUGGAGAGAAACUAUCUGGACAAGACCUCCAAGCAGCUUUUACAGUUGCAUGGUGUGUGUGUAUUUUCCAUUAAUAUUACUGAGAGAGUGAGCAGGAUCAGAAGAGGGAGUAAUUUGCAGCCUGUAUCUGCCUUUCUCCAUGGAAUGCGGCUUGGUCUGCAGAUGAAGAAAAGCGAGAAGAGCAGUGAAGCGGGAUAGCUGCAGGAGCAGACAGUGUAACAGCUGAGCUGUUGAAGGCUGCCAGUGUAAGUGCCAACAAAGCAGCCAAAAACCAGAUACAUGGAUGUACAGGAACACAAGGAAGUAGCAGAUAGAGCAAAACAGAGAACCAGGCCUGUGGGAUUUAGAAAUAUUCCUGACAUGAAGACCUGCAACACAGGAUGACAGCGUAUCAAGAUACAGAAUCAGAGUUCAAAUCCACAAGGGCGACAACUCAUUCUUCUCUCAACAUGUUUGUGUCUUUGCAUGAUCUCCAACCUGACUCCCAGUCUACAGUGUGAUAUGAGUUUGUCUGAUCUACAGUGUGACCAGAUAAAACAGUUAAUGAAAGACCACUAAGAAGAGACUUUAGCAAUUAGAAAUAUCCAGCACAAACCAACAGAAAGAAGCUGCUCAUUAAGUAUAUCCACUGAUGACACUAACUAAAGAGGCACGUGUAUGCUACAGCCUGGAAAAGCAGGGAACUAGAGUUUGUACACACAGAUAGAAGCUGUUGGAGGAAGGCAACUGAAGAAUACACAGAAACUCUCACUGAUGUCUGAAAUUGAAGAUGAUCUAAUAAAUAUGAAGAACAGUUCCAGGUUUCUUUCAAGAGCACAGCACUACACUGCACAGUCGGCAGCUUCUACCCUUCAGACAUCCAGGUGCAAAAGACAAGGAGGAGAUAGUGUUCAAGCCAAGCAGUGUCUUCAGCAGGGGUAGCCACGACUUUGGCACUGAGGGACAGGCAUGACCUAGUGAGUUUGCUAUGGAUCCUCUGGCCAUUUCACCCAGACUGCUAUCUCAUGAGGCAGUAAAAACAGCAUUCACCAUCCCCUGACAGGCCCCCACCUUCAGCUCAGGAUUUACUUUAGCUGGACACUGUUGAGAGCUAGGAGAUGACUUAGAGGAGAUAUUGCUAUGGGCUUGCUUUACUCACAUACCCUUCCUCAGGCAUUGGCUGUCAGGUGUGGGGUGGGAGGACUGGCAGACUCGUACUGGGCUGAAGGGCUUUUCUGCUGAGAAUUAAGGCCAUUUUGAUGAGGCAGGAUAAAGGCAUGGCACACACUAAGCCCUGGAAGGUGUUGAGUGCUCACAAGACCCACAGCAUAGACAUGGGCUUGGUCUCGCAAGAGCCCCAUGCAGUGACAGCUGAGUUCUCAGGGGGAUUCAUGGAAGCAGAGUUGCCCUGUUGCAGGUCUCCACAUGGCAAAAUUACCCCACACAAGAAGCUGCCACUUUGCUUUCAGGGGAACCUACAGUCACAGAGGAACAGCUAACAAGCUAACAACAGAUGAUGACAAAAGGAGGGCCCACGUGUGGUGGUUUGGACAAAGAGGCAGCAUCGGGAGUGAGGCAGAAAACCUGCUCAUUUGUCAGAUGAGGAGUGCAGGCAGCAGAGCUGGAAACACCUCCUGUGGUUCCCUGAAGCUGUAGCUGUUGGAAGAGGGCAGGGGCCAAAUCACCUGCCUCUCCUGUGCUUUGAGAUGUGCGGUCUAUAAAAAGUUGGAAAAGGAGACAGACCCCCCCCUCCAGCUGAGUUCACACUUUCAGCAGAAGCUUUAAUAAGAAGCUAGGUUGGCAAGGACGGGGAGCCACAGGGCAGCCCAGAUGUACAUGUAAAAAUCCUCCAGCAAGACGUGACAUCUCGGCAGGGAUGGAGAGUGCCAGGGUGCAAGCGAACAGUAUGGUUUCAUUGCUUUGUGGCUCAAACUGUGCCCAAGGUCUGCACCUACAAGUCCUACAUUUUGAAGAUGCAGAUCUGCCUCUGGCCCAGUGCCGUGCACACCAGCUAAGAAGUCCAAUAAUGGAUAUUGAUAGUUGCAGGCUGCUGUUCAAUCACAGGAUGGUUUGCCUGUGACAGGCCACAAGGGAAGUCAAUGCUGAUGAUAGUGUUUUCAGCCAAGAGCUGCCCGCCCAGAAAUCAAAUCUGCCAAAAAGACAUUUACACUCUCCAAGUGAAAACAAAGCAAAGUGGCUGCGGCUUUUAGAAACACUGCUGAGAGAUCAAUUCUUAGGUUUUCCACAGAUUAUAGAGUGAAUGAAAUGUCUGUGAGUGUUAAAUAUAUAUUGGCAACAGUUGUUUGAUGAGGAUUUUGGAAGGGGAGGACUGAAGAAGCCAUAUUUCUUUAGCGCCUCAGGUGUUUAUCACAGAAACCAGUUUGCUGGAAAAGUCAAUGCAACCACAAAACUAGCACAUCCCCCCGUCAAUGCGGAGGAGGCUGCAGCUCAGCAACUGAGCAAGUUAUCUUACAUGCUCCCAAAGCAGAGUACAAGGAGGUUGAAAUAACAGCUGAGCUCAAGCUAGAGCUGAGCACAGAGAGUGUAAGAAAUUGCUUAGUCACAGAAAAAUGCAAACACUCAUAAUGUCAAGUCAAAUUUAGUCAACAGUUUCACCUGAAAUAAAACGUGGAAGGCAUUAUUUUGUUGUUUUUGCAAUAGUUUUUUGCUUUGACUUUUCAGGCAAGAUUUACAAGCUGACUUGAAAACGAUUUCUGAAACAACAGAGAAUGGGAAAAGAGCAUCCUUAUGCCACAGCAACUAAAUUUUGUGAGACUGGAGGCAUAUAUCCACUCCUUUUUCUAACUGAUUUAAAGCUAGGUCUUAAAAUCAUGGGCCUCUUUUCUCUUUCACAGUGAUACUGAUUUUGGUGGGAGACCUUCGUUUUUUUUGCCUUUGAAGAUGAUUGGAAGCAGGGAUUGGAAAAUUCAGAUGAGUGUCCUAGACACCAGACCAUACCAUAAUCCUCACCUGUUUUCUUACCCAAUGAAAGUUCGUGACAUGAACAGCAUUUGUGGACACAUCAGCAUUCAAGACAGAGGCUCCUUUGUGUCCUCUACAGCUGCCACAGUGAGUUUUCUUCACCCCAAGUACCAACGCUCUCAAGCAGCCAGGAGCUCCACAUCUCUCAGAAAACAGGGAGCAGGGCUGGGCUGGUGGCAGAGCAGGGACACGAGGCAGUGCUCACCACCACAGCUUCAGCUGUUUUACCUGUCCCACCCCAUGGCGUACAAAUUGCCCAGCAGCCUUGAAUCCAGCAGAGCUACUUUCUCAGACAACGUCCAUCGCAGGAGUUUCAUUCGAUCUGCCUGUGAGGCCGGGUUUGGGCAGCCAGCCUUACAGCCUGGCAUUUAGGACAUUUUUCUGAGAGGAAAACCUGGGGAUUACUGAGCAGUUGGAGUCGCCCACCUAGAGAGUGAAAGUUCACACUGCUGGGUGAGAAAGGGGAUCUCCCCUCAUCAGUUUUGUGAACAUUGCUCUGGUCACCCUGCAUGAGUUUAUUUUCACAUUGCUUUCAUGUCCUUUAGAAAUGGCCCAAAUCAGUGUGAAAUACUUUAUUCAACCUGAAAAAGCCCCUCCCUAUUUGCCACACAGUCUGAAAAAAUCUGGUUUGAUGUCAAUCCAGAAAUACUUUUUCCUUUUUUUUUUUUUUGUUUGUUUUUAAACAUUGGCAGCACAGCAUUCCUCCAAAUGGGACCAACAUGCAGCUCUAGAUAAAAUAAGUAAGUAUUGCUAGCGCUUUACUGAGAACAUUAGCCUGGCUGCUCAGCUUCCUAGUGCCAAAGACUGCUGCCCAGAGUAAAUGGCCGUACUUACUCUGUCCAGCAGUAGUUUGCUUUCUCUGUGCUCUUUAGAAAGUUAUCAAAGAAACCCUUUUCAUAGUAAGCACUGCAUCUUCACUGCCGAAGGGCCAAAUUCUGAUCCCACUGAAUUAAGCUCCCAUUUCAGUAGGAUCAGAACUGGCCAAAACUAAUGAAUUUAAUCUGUCUCAGACUCCCAUGGUGUCUGGUUUGGAGCUAGAGGGAGACAGGACAUUAGGCCACCCAUCAUCUUUACACCCAAAGGGAGAAUUCAGCAGACAGAGCAGAUCAAUGUGCCAGGUGAGGCCACAGCAGGAGGCACCCUGCAGACCUGCCUGUUUUUUCCCUUGUACCAGAUGAAAUCAGUCUUCCCCAUUUGUCACCAAGUGGAGUAGCGUUUAGCCCACUGAUGCUUUAAACUUUUCCUGAAAGUCUUGAAAUGAUGAGACACAGUGUUUGCAAGAUCCCACGUCCUGGAUGACCAGAGCUGAGCUCAGGCAUGGUGCCUUUGUAGCAGGAUUCGCAAGGGUGAAUAUCACACUGCGGCUGCCACUGCAAAGGUCUCUUCAUGGGUGCAGAAAGUAACUCUGGAGCAUCUGAAAAAAAACCCCUCUUUUUCAAUGUAAAAACACAGAAAAAUAUGUGUGUGUAAUCAUCUCAUUCCCCAGAGUGUUACACACAUAAUCAAAGGAGAAUCACUACAGACUUCGUGCAUGGAGGAAUACAGUGCUCUUCCUUUAUGAAUGAAGCACAUAAGACUGAGCAAGCACCACUACCGCGGGUAAAGUAGACUGCUUGUAAAGAGAAAAAUAAAUAGAUGGCAUCUCCUCUGUAGCAAAAUGACGGUAGCCAGAUCCUCCUAUUUUUACAGUCAUUGUUCAACAUUAUACUUAAGAGCAGUAUUAGAGCAAAAAGCACCUAAUUUCACUUCAGCUGAUUUAAAAUGCAUCUUAGUGCAUCUGAGCUAUUGUCUAAUCCUUUUGUUUGAGAUGUUCUACACUAGUCAGCCACUUUUGAUUGAUGUGCUAACAAUCCCCCUUAAGGCAGGUAAUUCACAGACAGUGUUCAUGAUGUGCAAAGUGGCACUCUAGCUCCCACAAACAAAAGUCAGUAAACUUUAAAUCCCAGAGCCCCUAAACUUAUUUUGCAUAAAUCGUCCUCACAAGAGGGGAGGUGAGAUCUCUUUAUAUGCAUCUUCUGUAUCAACUUAGAAUUCAACUAAUUUUUUUGUAACAGUGGGAAAGCUGAGUAGCGACAAGUCACAGCAGAAAGCAAAGGUUGCAACCAAUUUUGAGACCAAACGAAAUAAAAUUAAUUACCUCAUUUUAGCCUCUAUCCAGUCAGCUAUGUCCUACUUCAAUGUCUUUUCAAUUAAAGCUUUCUUAGAGUAACAAUUAACAGAAGUAGAUAUAUUUUUAUUAAAUAACGUCCUCUGCAGGUGGCAUUUUUUCCUUGUGUGCUGAGGCUACAAUAGAUAGCAUUUCCUGCGGUAACAAGAAUAGGUUUUAAGCCUAAAAAAUGUUGGUUUUUCCAAGUCUGCAAAUGGGACAUUUAUGCUAUUGGAAAUCAAGAUUUCAAUCAUUCCACUAUGAUGCAGUUUCUGUCCUUAGAAGAUCUUGAAAUAGCAUGCUGUUUCAAAUUAUGUAAUACUGGGUAUAGAAGAGAGGUUGGCUUCUUUUUUCUGAACUGCAUUGCUUAGACAAUCACAUUUCUUUGUCUCAGAAAUACAUAUAUUUGUAUUCAUAGUAGAAAAAAAAAACCCCAGCUGGUCAUCACAUAAAGGUAAAAAAGAGGACCAUGAAACAAUGGUACCAGCAACAUCUGCAAGUAUGUUAAAAUUUAUUCACCUAUAAACCACGUAGCUGUUGCAACCUCUUAUAUAUAUAAUAACAAAUUAUAGGCUAUCAAGUGUGACUUCCUGCUUGCAUAAGCCGUUGACAUCACAGAGUGGAAUCUAGCCCCAAGCUCCAAUUUGUGUUUAAACUGAACUGUCCCAUCUUACCAAGUCAUCCCAGAUAAAGUCCUAAUGCUAGUGAAAUCAAUGCAAAAAGAUAGUAAUUUACUUCAGGAUUGCCAGGAUUCCAAUUGAUUUAAAACUGCAUGAAAACCAGAGCCCUCCUGCAUGAGCGGUAAGAUGAUCUAUUAAGUCAUUAUUUUCUUUAGAAAGAAUACAUCUGAGCUGUAGUCUGAAUUUACCUAUUGUCUCUUCUAGCUGGUGAAGCUGUUAUCCCCUUUCGAUAGGUUUCACUGCUAAUGAUGAUCGGUUAUUUCUUCUUUCAUGGGGAUAUGCUUUCUAGAAAUGCUUCAUUCCAAACUAAAAGCAAAACCCUUAACAUGUUCAUGGAGUUGAAAUACUGUGUCAAAAAGGAGAAAUAUUGAAAUAUCUGGGGAGAGCAGUUUGGCCAGUUUCACGACUGCAGUUCAUGGUGUCUCGAAACCAAAGCAAUCAUACCAGUUUCUGUCAUCUGCGCUGCCCCAUAGCUGCACAUACUGGAAGAUCCCAGUGUUGGCUCCCAGCUCUGUGGUCAGGAGCCAAGAAUCCCUGAGGUCUCUAGCCCCACAGUCAUUCAGAUGGAAACCUGUCACUGAGAUGAGAAACCUGAGUUCCUGGCAACCCACAGGUGAAGGAAGUUAAUUGAAAGAGAAGGCUUUCUCCCCUGGUAAAUCAGUGGUUUUCAAAGCUGCUGAAUAACCUUGCUUUGUUGGGAAAAAAACUUCCAACCAGCUUUAAUUAGACAGUCCCAAAUUAAGUUAAGAAAAGCAAUUUAAUUGAAAGAAGGUGCAGUGAUGUACGGGAGAUUUGGGGAAGUGCUGAGGGACACCUCAAAAGAAAAAAGCAUGUGUGCUACAAGAAUGUUUUCUCUGUUGGGACAAUGUAGUACUGGGAGGCAUGUCAGAAAAAUAACCAGUGUGGAUUUCUUCAUUUUUUCCUUGUAUCGCAUCCUGCAGCUAGGAGCAUUGCAAGCUGAUCCUUCAUCUGUUAAUCACUUGUUUAGGUGACUACUACCAGAGAACAAAGGAGAUUGUAUGUGGGGAAAAUAAACCAAGUGGAGACUGAGGAUCACAUGAGAAGAGAGAUUAAACAGCACCUUUUCUUUCUCUCUUUGUAGUAAAUGUCCAAGGUAAAAAAAAAAUAAUAAUCCACCUAAGGCCAUUUCUCUAGCUCAGGCUCCAGAGAUAUCUUUAAAAGAACUUGGUUGCAAUUUUUUUUCUUCUCUGUAUGGAAGAAAUUAAUAAAAGAUCAGGGGCUGGAGCAAG